ensembl:ncRNA lncRNA:CR44121 long non-coding RNA:CR44121
UAGUUCUUUCAUGACAACCUGUCACUUGCUAUUGAUUGACUUUCUGAUUUUCUGAAUCCAGAGAGUAUUUCGUGGUAUGAUGGGUGGGAGAAGAUCCAACGGAGUAACCAAAGGAACGUCUCAACUUCCGAGUACCCCGCUAAACCCGUGAAGUGAAACUCUAGAUGGACCCGAUGUCGGUAGUGAAUCAAUUAUUUUUUCAUUUACCACCAAAAGGGAGUGUUCAAAUUACUUCUAUUUUUAAAUGUGGCAAUGGUAAACUUAGGU